UACGAAGGGUGCAAGCGUUGUCCGGAAUUAUUGGGCGUAAAGAGCUCGUAGGCGGUUUGUUGCGUCGGCUGUGAAAUCCCGAGGCUCAACCUCGGGUCUGCAGUCGAUACGAGCAAACUAGAGUGUUGCAGGGGAGACUGGAAUUCCUGGUGUAGCGGUGAAAUGCGCAGAUAUCAGGAAGAACACCAACGGCGAAGGCAGCUCGCUGGGACGGUACUGACGCUGAGACGCGAAAGCGUGGGGAGCGAACAGG
rnacentral:rRNA from 1 species